UCCCUCCACGGCCGAUUUCCCCUCCGCCACCCCCCCCCCCACCCCCCUUCCGCGCUUCGGCGGAGAAUGCCAAAUGUGAGUGAUGGAGCGCCAUAUAUGGCGGCGGAGAACUGGUCACAAAUCAGGAAGAAUGCACUCAAGAGAAAUGGGCAAAGACAACUCAGGGUGGCAUAGCAAAAGAGUGUGCCCACAGAACAUAGGGGAAGACACUGACAUCCCAUCUCAACACACAGCUUUGCUCCAUUACAACACAGGGUGGCAUGCACUUGCCCCAUUACAACACACAACUUGCUGGAAUAGGAAAUCAAAGAAGAAACCCAUCAUGGAUGCAUAUCUAUGGACAAGAACAACAUUUUGUAUCAGGCUACGGUCUAACAGGAAAUGGGUCUUGAUAUGUGCUGGUCACCAUGUUGGGCCGAAUUAUGACGACAGGAAGGUCUCCCCACUGCUCCGCAAGUAACAUCUCCCCCAUAGCCUUGGUAAAUGUAUAUACGUUUGGC